rnacentral:rRNA from 1 species
GACGAACCGUGCGAACGUUAUUCGGAAUCACUGGGCUUAAAGGGCGCGUAGGCGGGUUGCCAAGUCUGUGGUGAAAUCCUCCAGCUUAACUGGAGAACGGCCGUGGAUACUGGCGACCUCGAGGGGGGUAGGGGCUUGCGGAACUGUGCGUGGAGCGGUGAAAUGCGUUGAUAUCGUGAGGAAGACCAGUUGCGAAGGCGGAUCUCUGGGCAGUUCCUGACACUGAGGCACGAAGGCCAGGGGAGCAAACGGG